rnacentral:rRNA from 1 species
AGGGCACCACCAGGAGUGGAGCCUGCGGCUUAAUUUGACUCAACACGGGAAAUCUCACCAGGCCCGGACACUGGAAGGAUUGACAGAUUGAGAGCUCUUUCUCGAUUCGGUGGGUGGUGGUGCAUGGCCGUUCUUAGUUGGUGGAGUGAUUUGUCUGGUUAAUUCCGAUAACGAACGAGACUCUGUCCUGCUAAAUGGUUCCCGCGUCCUUUGUUGCGCGGGAAAUUCUUCUUAGAGGGACUGGCGGCGUCUAGCCGCACGAGAUUGAGCAAUUUUUUUGUCUGUGAUGCCCUUAGAUGUUCUGGGCCGCACGCGCGCUACACUGAAGGGAUCAGCGUGUCUUCCCUUCCCGAGAGGGACGGGUAACCCGCUGAACCCCCUUCGUGGUAGGGAUCGGGGCUUGCAAUUAUUCCCCGUGAACCAGGAAUUCCCAGUAAGCGCGAGUCAUAAGCUUGCGUUGAUUACGUCCCUGCCCUUUGUACACACCGCCCGUCGCUACUACCGAUUGAACGUUUUAGU